GGGACACGUGGUAUCCUGUCUGAAUAUGGGGGGACCAUCCUCCAAGGCUAAAUACUCCUGACUGACCGAUAGUGAACCAGUACCGUGAGGGAAAGGCGAAAAGAACCCCGGCGAGGGGAGUGAAAAAGAACCUGAAACCGUGUACGUACAAGCAGUGGGAGCACGCUUAGGCGUGUGACUGCGUACCUUUUGUAUAAUGGGUCAGCGACUUAUAUUCUGUAGCAAGGUUAACCGAAUAGGGGAGCCGAAGGGAAACCGAGUCUUAACUGGGCGUUAAGUUGCAGGGUAUAGACCCGAAACCCGGUGAUCUAGCCAUGGGCAGGUUGAAGGUUGGGUAACACUAACUGGAGGACCGAACCGACUAAUGUUGAAAAAUUAGCGGAUGACUUGUGGCUGGGGGUGAAAGGCCAAUCAAACCGGGAGAUAGCUGGUUCUCCCCGAAAGCUAUUUAGGUAGCGCCUCGUGAAUUCAUCUCCGGGGGUAGAGCACUGUUUCGGCAAGGGGGUCAUCCCGACUUACCAACCCGAUGCAAACUGCGAAUACCGGAGAAUGUUAUCACGGGAGACACACGGCGGGUGCUAACGUCCGUCGUGAAGAGGGAAACAACCCAGACCGCCAGCUAAGGUCCCAAAGUCAUGGUUAAGUGGGAAACGAUGUGGGAAGGCCCAGACAGCCAGGAUGUUGGCUUAGAAGCAGCCAUCAUUUAAAGAAAGCGUAAUAGCUCACUGGUCGAGUCGGCCUGCGCGGAAGAUGUAACGGGGCUAAACCAUGCACCGAAGCUGCGGCAGCGACGCUUAUGCGUUGUUGGGUAGGGGAGCGUUCUGUAAGCCUGCGAAGGUGUGCUGUGAGGCAUGCUGGAGGUAUCAGAAGUGCGAAUGCU
rnacentral:rRNA from 1 species